UGAAAACUAGGAAAUCCACCAUUCUGUCAUUCUAGAGCUUCAUUAGUAGUUGACCUACUUUCAAUAACAUUAAUUCAAUAGACUUGAAGCAGAUGAAAUGGGACAAAUAUUGCAUAAAAAUGAAAUUAUUCAGAGCAUUUUAUUUAUCUACACUACAGAUUAAAUGUGUCUGUUUCUGAGGUCUUAGAGAAACAAGGGUAAGUUUGAAUCCAGAGAACCUGGCCUGAGUGAUGACCACUGAGACCUACCAGGUGACUGACCUUAAGAAAGAAGGAUUGUCUCUGAGUUUCCAUUCCUUAACAAGCAUAUCGGAAUAAUAACUUGGACUUCUGACAUUUGUAGGAGUACUAAUUAA